rnacentral:misc_RNA from 1 species
CGAACACACACACACGCACAUCUUUUUUUCUGUGAGUCGUCUUCAACGCGCUUCAGUUAACCUCUCUUGCUUUUCACCCCAGCGGUCAGAAGCAGCUACACAACGCUCACCCAUAAUUAUACCGGGUUAUUUUUAUCGAGGACCAAAGAGAAGCAGGCGAGAAAAUGAAGCUCGGGUACAAGAGCGAGACAAGUGCCUUUUUUGUGGGUGCGGCGACUUUCGCUGCUUGCUUCUUUAUUCCCCGCCGCUUCCUCGCUGCCGCUAUUCCAUUGUGGAUUGUAGCGAGCCGGCUGCUGGCGCGGGGCGCCGUGAAUCACGCACGCCCCGUGACGGAUGCGGACACUGCGGAUAAGCAGGCACAGGCCCGCUUUGUGAUGUCGCGUGACAUGCCGCUGGCGAAGCGUCCAGUGGCGAUCGUGACGGGAACUAACAGCGGGAUCGGGUACUGGACUGCUGUGGGUCUGGCUGUGGAGGGCUACGAGGUUGUGGUGACGUGCCGGUCGGCUGUGUUGACACAGCAGACGGCUGAGCGGAUUCAGCAGGAAGCGAAGCGCCGCCGUCGUGCCCAGCCGAAACUGUACGAGCACUCUCCGGCGUCAGUGCUCGUGGAGGGCCACCUGCCGGUGGAGUGCGACGACUUCGACAGUGUGCGCGCAUUCGCGGAGUGGGUGGCAAGGAAAUACGCGCAGCGCAACGUGCAGGUGCUGGUGAACAACGCAGGCGGCAUGCGCAAGGCGUUGGGCUUCUCUCGUCUUCAUCCUAACUUAGAGUUGCACACUGCCAUGAACUUCCUCGGCCCGUUUCUGCUGACGGAACUGUUGCUGCCUGUGCUGGAGAGGAACGGCGGCCGCGUUGUGUAUGUUUCGAGUGAAGCGCACCGCUUUGCACAGUCUCUCCUUCUUCCCGGCCGCUUUAGUGUGUGGAGAUCGAUUAGGGCAUUUCCCACAUGCAACGGCCUCAUUGCGGGAAAGUUGCUCAAUGCAUUGAAGGAGGUCAACCAGGGUGCUGGCAAGUCGAGCGGUCCGCUUCAGACUUCUUCGACUCAGCACGCCUUUGGCCGUUACGGCAUCAGCAAGCUACUGAACACCUACCACGCCCACAUGAUUGCGCGCCGCUACCGCGACGUGAAGGACGAGGCGCACCGUGUAUACGCCUGCUCGCUGCACCCCGGCUGUGUCGCUACCAACUUCUCUCGAGAUAUCAUGGGCGGCUUUGUGGGUAUGAUUUUCUCAUGGGCGUCGCUGCUGUUCUUAAAGACCGCAGAGGAGGGUGCGCAGACGACGCUGCACUGCGCCAUGUGCCCGCGCACAGAGUUGGAGUUGGUGUCGCCGUCUGGCGAGAAACCGACGACGAACGCGGAUGCGGUGAGCCCAUACUUCGUGGAGUGCGCGGACCAGACGACGAGUAUGCUGCGUGCGUACGGCUGGGACGUGAGUGAGGCAGCGGCGAUUUUGCAGUGGGGUCGGCAGCAAGUCGGCCUCGCCUAAAUCGUGAGGAGUUGCCGUAAUGAAAAGAGAAGUGCAUUUCACCACAUUACACAGGGUCAACACGGCGUAUGGUGGUUUGGUGGCGGCGUCUCUGGCUUUUAUCUUCCUCUCUUGUGCAUCGCCAUGUGGUGGCGGCAAACAUUCUGCGCUGUCAUCAUCUUCGUAUGUUUGUACGUCUCGUCCGCCUCUCUCCCUACUUCGUCUUUGACGUGCCUGUGUCCGUUUCACGUUUGCAUUGUUGGCCCGCGUGGUUUGUUCUCUCGAUCUCCCCACCACAAGUGCAGGGGCCAAAGCGUUUUUUUUUUUUCGUUUCAGCCCCGAGAAUUCACUUUUGUGGUGCGAAGGGGUUUGCUUGCUGUAUUUCUCCCAAUUUUUUUUUACCGAUCAUUGCGCUCGAUGCCCUGUUUUCUCUCGUCGACAACGCCCCCCCCCUCUCCCUCUCUCUCUCGCCCUCGUCUCCUCUUGCACGUGUAGACGUUGAAUGCGGUGUUCAUCCUUUCUUCGAGCGUUUGCUGGAAGGAAAGGAGAAGUGACGAAGGCAGGCAAUUUCUAGUUCAGCGUAGCGCUUCGUAUGCACCUGCUUUGUUUUUAUGAUAUCAGGCAUAUUGCCCUGGAAUACG